AACGCACCUUGCGCUCCCUGGCAUUCCGAGGAGCAUGUCUGUUUGAGUGUCAUGAACUCUUCAACCCACCAGUUUCUUGUAAACUGACUGGUGUUUGGAUUUUGAGCGUUGCUGGAUCUUCGGAUCGAAGCUCGUUCGUAAUACAUUAGCAUCUCUAAUUCGAACUCGGAUUGACUCAGUGUAAUAGACUAUUCGCUGAGGACACGUGCUUGCAUGUGGCCGAAUGAGAUCUCAGUAGAGGCUUCCAUUCCAACCCAUCUAGUCAACUUUAGAUUAGACCUCAAAUCAGGCAGGAUUACCCGCUGAACUUAA
rnacentral:misc_RNA from 1 species